rnacentral:rRNA from 1 species
CGCAAGCCUGACGGAGCAAGACCGCGUGCGGGAUGACGGCCCAAUGGUUGUAAACCGCUUUUCUCUGGGAAGAUGAUGACGGUACCAGAGGAAUCAGCCUCGGCUAACUCCGUGCCAGCAGCCGCGGUAAUACGGAGGAGGCAAGCGUUAUCCGGAAUUAUUGGGCGUAAAGCGUCCGUAGGUGGUUAUUCAAGUCUGCUGCCAAAGCGUGGGGCUUAACUCCAUAGAGGCAGUGGAAACUGGAUGACUUGAGUGCGGUAGGGGUCGAGGGAAUUCCCAGUGUAGCGGUGAAAUGCGUAGAUAUUGGGAAGAACACCAGUGGCGAAAGCGCUCGACUGGGCCUGCACUGACACUGAGGGACGAAAGCUAAGGUAGCG